CUGGUGUCCAGUUCCCCCUAAUAAAUCCCCCCCCCCGACAGCGCAGAGAGUGACUCUGUGUGGAGCGUGAGGAGCCUUGAACCAACUGCCCAUCCCCAGGUGAACCCCAUCAGCCACCAUCAUGUCUGACGCAGAAGAGGUGGAGUAUGAGGAGGAGCAGCAUGAAGAAGAGGAACUGGCUGAGCAGGCCGAGGAGGAGGAAGUGUCUGAGGAACCCCAGCCGGCCGCAGACCCAGGUAUUUUCCUGCUUCGCUUCCUCCUUGGAGAAAUACCCCUGAGGUGGGGGCUCCCAUGGGGCACCCCCCUGCCCCCACCCCGCUGAGGGUGCAGGGGCGCGGCCACAGCGGGGGAUGGGCAGAGCUGGGCUGGGCCCCCCAGGCCUCCCCCAGGGUAAAUCACCCCCCCCCAGGGCCUGGGCCUCUCAGGCAUCGCGCCCUCCCCGCAUCUGUCCAUCUGCACUGUCCAGUCCCCAGAAGGGGCAGCU